AACGUAGGUGGCGAGCGUUAUCCGGAUUUACUGGGCGUAAAGGGUGUGCAGGCGGGCUGUUAAGUGGGGUCUGAAAGGUCUCGGCUCAACCGGGAUAAGUUAUGCCAGACUGGCAGUCUAGAGAGCGAGAGAGGGACGUGGAAUUCCUGGUGUAGCGGUGAAAUGCGCAGAUAUCAGGAGGAACACCGAUGGCGAAGGCAGGUCUCUGGGCAUUAACUGACGCUGAGGAGCGAAAGCAUGGGGAGCGAACAGG
rnacentral:rRNA from 1 species